GACAGAGGAUGCAAGCGUUAUCCGGAAUGAUUGGGCGUAAAGCGUCUGUAGGUGGCUUUUUAAGUCCGCCGUCAAAUCCCAGGGCUCAACCCUGGACAGGCGGUGGAAACUACCAAGCUGGAGUACGGUAGGGGCAGAGGGAAUUUCCGGUGGAGCGGUGAAAUGCGCGAGAUAUCGGGAGGAACACCAAUGGCGAAGGCAGCUCGCUGGGACGUUACUGACGCUGAGACGCGAAAGCGUGGGGAGCAAACAGG
rnacentral:rRNA from 1 species